GACGAACGCUGGCGGCGUGCUUAACACAUGCAAGUCGAACGGAAAGGCCUCUGCUUGCAGGGGUGCUCGAGUGGCGAACGGGUGAGUAACACGUGGGUGAUCUGCCUUGUACUCUGGGAUAAGCUUGGGAAACUGGGUCUAAUACCGGAUAGGAACUGCCUUUAGUGUGGUGGUUGGAAAGUUUUUUCGGUGCAAGAUGAGCUCGCGGCCUAUCAGCUUGUUGGUGGGGUAAUGGCCUACCAAGGCGUCGACGGGUAGCCGGCCUGAGAGGGUGUACGGCCACAUUGGGACUGAGAUACGGCCCAGACUCCUACGGGAGGCAGCAGUGGGGAAUAUUGCACAAUGGGCGGAAGCCUGAUGCAGCGACGCCGCGUGGGGGAUGACGGCCUUCGGGUUGUAAACUCCUUUCGACAGGGACGAAGCUUUUUGUGACGGUACCUGUAUAAGAAGCACCGGCUAACUACGUGCCAGCAGCCGCGGUAAUACGUAGGGUGCGAGCGUUGUCCGGAAUUACUGGGCGUAAAGAGCUCGUAGGUGGUUUGUCGCGUCGUCUGUGUAAUUCCGGGGCUUAACUCCGGGCGUGCAGGCGAUACGGGCAUAACUUGAGUGCUGUAGGGGAGACUGGAAUUCCUGGUGUAGCGGUGAAAUGCGCAGAUAUCAGGAGGAACACCGAUGGCGAAGGCAGGUCUCUGGGCAGUUACUGACGCUGAGGAGCGAAAGCAUGGGUAGCGAACAGGAUUAGAUACCCUGGUAGUCCAUGCCGUAAACGGUGGGCGCUAGGUGUAGGGGGCUUCCACGUCUUCUGUGCCGUAGCUAACGCAUUAAGCGCCCCGCCUGGGGAGUACGGCCGCAAGGCUAAAACUCAAAGGAAUUGACGGGGGCCCGCACAAGCGGCGGAGCAUGUGGAUUAAUUCGAUGCAACGCGAAGAACCUUACCUGGGCUUGACAUACACCAGAUCGCUGCAGAGAUGUAGUUUCCCUUGUGGUUGGUGUACAGGUGGUGCAUGGUUGUCGUCAGCUCGUGUCGUGAGAUGUUGGGUUAAGUCCCGCAACGAGCGCAACCCUUGUCUUAUGUUGCCAGCAUUUGGUUGGGGACUCAUGAGAGACUGUCGGGGUUAACUCGGAGGAAGGUGGGGAUGACGUCAAAUCAUCAUGCCCCUUAUGUCCAGGGCUUCACACAUGCUACAAUGGUCGGUACAACGCGCAGCGGCACUGUGAGGUGGAGCGAAUCGCUGAAAGCCGGUCUUAGUUCGGAUUGGGGUCUGCAACUCGACCCCAUGAAGUCGGAGUCGCUAGUAAUCGUAGAUCAGCAAUGCUGCGGUGAAUACGUUCCCGGGCCU
rnacentral:rRNA from 1 species